rnacentral:rRNA from 1 species
UGGGGAAUAUUGGACAAUGGGCGAAAGCCUGAUCCAGCCAUGCCGCGUGUGUGAAGAAGGUCUUCGGAUUGUAAAGCACUUUAAGUUGGGAGGAAGGGCAGUAAGCGAAUACCUUGCUGUUUUGACGUUACCGACAGAAUAAGCACCGGCUAACUCUGUGCCAGCAGCCGCGGUAAUACAGAGGGUGCAAGCGUUAAUCGGAAUUACUGGGCGUAAAGCGGGCGUAGGUGGUUCGUUAAGUUGAAUGUGAAAGCCCCGGGCUCAACCUGGGAACUGCAUCCAAAACUGGCGAGCUAGAGUAGGGCAGAGGGUGGUGGAAUUUCCUGUGUAGCGGUGAAAUGCGUAGAUAUAGGAAGGAACACCAGUGGCGAAGGCGACCACCUGGGCUCAUACUGACACUGAGGUGCGAAAGCGUGGGGAGCAAACAGG